rnacentral:tRNA from 1 species
GGAUUGUAGCUCAGCGGUAGAGCACUCGCCUGGCAUGUGUGAGGCCCUGGGUUCAAUCCUCAGCACCA